GUUCAAGAAAGGACGACGUUCGAAUGCUUUUCCCAGGUUUGAUGAGGAAAGAUAUUAGCGAACUAUGCCCCAGUGAGAUAUAAGCUGGCUGACAUCACUGGCACCUGGAUUGCUAAUGGAGCAACAACUUAGCCCAGAAUAAUGAUGGAAGAAGAAAGAGCACCCAUUUUAAACUCAGCUCCUACAGUGAAACAUGGCACAAGUCACUUGCAAACUGAAUACCUGAAACUAAUUGAAGAAAACAGUGGACAUUAGAUACGUGAAGUUAAAGAACUUGUUCAGAAAAUAGAUGUGUAUCCUGGCCUGCCUCCAAUCUAAACUCAAGAUGAAAUCUACCUGAUCUACAUGAAAAGCUGACAAACUUUCUUCUCGCUGCUGCCAUCAAGAAGGAGGUACAGAAGCCUUACAAUUCACACCACCAGGCUCAGGAUCAGUUAUUACCCUGCAACCUUCAGGCUCUUGAUGCAAAGGGGAUGUCACUGGAUUUCAUUUGCCCCAUCAUUGAAGUGUUCCCACAACCUAUGGACUCACUUUGUUUGAACUCCCAAGUUGGUGUGGUCUUUCAUUGAUUCUGUUUUGAUCAGUCUAUGGAUUUAUUGAGUAUGCCCACAAGACAAUAAAUCUCAGGGUCACAUAUGGUGACAUAUAUGUAAUAAAGAGUAAAGAGAGGCAAGAGAGAGUAUACAUUGGACCACUGGAAAAUGACGCAGGAGAGAUAAUAAUGGGGGACAGAGAAAUGGCAGACAAACUGAUUUAAGUCCAGGCCCAGGCAGUUGUCCCCACAAGCUUCAAGAUUGCCACCGUCAUGCCAGUGACAAAGUAUUCCACUGUCACGGGCCUGAAUGACUUCUGCCCAGUUGCACUCACCCCCAUCACUGCAAAGUGCUUUGACAGACUGGUUCUAUCACAUCUGAAACCCUGUCUGCCCACUACACUGGACCCCCAUCAAUUUGCCUAUCGCACCAACAGGUCAACAGAGGACGCCAUCUCCACGGCACUUCACUCCGCCCUGACCCAGCUGGACAGCCCCAACUCUUACGUCAGAAUGCUGUUCAUUGACUUUAGUUUGGCAUUUAAUACUGUAAUCCCCUCCAAGCUGAUCGCCAAACUUCGCCAGCUCAUCCCUCUGCAAUUGGA